GCAAACCGAAUGCUUCCACACUAAGUGCACGUCAAACACCUGUCAAGAUAUUUGUUGCCGAAUUCGUUUUUUUACGUCUGUAAAUUGAUUUUCACUGAAGAAGUCCAAAGUAAAGAUUCCAUAUCCACAAUGAAGCAACUCUAGAGGCGGCGAUAAUCAAGGUCAGAUCAGAUUAGAAGGCCGUCUCCUACAUUUAAAGAAUUUCCACAUAGAAGGAAUCAUCCAUAGAGAAAUGUAAUCACAACGAGAGGCUGCAAAGGCACGUCGCUUGGGGGGAACGCAGGUGUCUCGGGGACACAAUCUCCCCAGCCCUCUCCUUCGAAAAAUCCACAAGAUUUGAGGCCAAAAGCCCAUUAUGGAACUCGACAACAGUGAAGCCAACUUCAGUUAUCGGAUCAAGGAAGAAUUUAAAGAAAUUCCACCACGAUGGAAAAGGCCCAGAAAGAGGAGGAAAUGAAUCGAAUGUGUAAUCUUCGUUAUGUAGAGGAGGUGCUGCUUUUGGGAUUGGAGUGUAAGGAGCGCAUGGUGGACAUAAGGAUCUGCUGCUCCAUCUCCGAAAAACAUGGUGCACUGAUGAUGAGCUGAGCGAGAAGCAGACGGAGACCAAGAAACCUUAAGAGUAGCAGUCUUCCAAACUGGAUCCGUCGGCGGUUGUCCAGUCAUCAGAUACAGCUCCAUUAUUUGAUCCAGAGGACAGACGCCGCGAGAUGACCGACUCUACGCCAAAUCUUGCCAUCACCUCCUCCUCCUUCCAGAACGAGGCUCUUCCUUACCCUAAAGACGAAGAAAUUGCCGAAAGUUAUCUACAUGAGCAAGGAUGUUAAUCACACUCAAGAUAGUACUAUGCCCAUAGUAAUAUUUUGAAUGCGUUCUACAUCAAUGCCAUAAUAACUGUAGCUCUCGAUCUUGCCUGACUUGCCACCCAUUUCUUCGUUCUUACCGUAAGGAAGAGCCUCGUGGUGGGAGGAGGACUUGGUGGCCAGAUUCGACUUAGUGGUCAUCCCCUUUGGUCUGUCUUUCCGGUGGAGCUACAUUAGAGAACUGGCGAACAGUUUUUAGUGGAGCUUGUUCCUUUUAGUCCAUUGCUUUGCACUGCUCAGGAAUGUUGUUCUGGUUAGGCUAGUCGCAACACGUACUGGCACUAAUUAUUUGUAAUUGUAUUUAAUCACCGCUUAUCUCGAUAAGUAAAUAAAAUUCCUUAUGA